UCAUUCAUUUCGGACUGAAAUUUUAUAGAUAUGAGGUUGUGUUGCGUCCUCUCGGAUUCAAUUUGACAUACUUAGAAGACAAUGACCUCGCAGUCAAGGGUAGAAAGGGAAAAGAAAAGCUUGGGAGGUGGAAGCUAUCUAUUGGUCAAUCACUCAUGUGAGAGGAUUAGGGACCAAUCGGAUACUUGGAAAUAUAUCCUAAGUAUAUUUCCUACAAUAAUAGGGCACCUUGGACUAAGUUUUUGCUAGUUCACUAUUUUUGCAUGUGUUUUUCUACCGGUUCAUUAUUUUUUCCGCAUAGUAAAACGGCGAUCCGUUGCCGAUUCACUGAUCCCAACCGAUUUUUGUGAUGCCAAAUCCUGGAUGCCAAUCUUUUUUUAAAUUACUAAUAAGUACUCGUA